rnacentral:rRNA from 1 species
GAUGAACGCUGGCGGCGUGCCUAAUACAUGCAAGUCGAGCGAACAGACGAGGAGCUUGCUCCUCUGACGUUAGCGGCGGACGGGUGAGUAACACGUGGAUAACCUACCUAUAAGACUGGGAUAACUUCGGGAAACCGGAGCUAAUACCGGAUAAUAUAUUUAACCGCAUGGUUCAAUAGUUAAAGACGGUUUUGCUGUCACUUAUAGAUGGAUCCGCGCCGCAUUAGCUAGUUGGUAAGGUAACGGCUUACCAAGGCGACGAUGCGUAGCCGACCUGAGCGGGUGAACGGCCACACUGGAAUUGAAACACGGUCCAGACUCCUAAGGGAGGCAGCAGUAGGGAAUCUUCCGCAAUGAGCGAAAGCCUGACGGAGCAACGCCGCGUGAGUGAUGAAGGUCUUCGGAUCGUAAAACUCUGUUAUUAGGGAAGAACAAAUGUGUAAGUAACUAUGCACGUCUUGACGGUACCUAAUCAGAAAGCCACGGCUAACUACGUG